CCUGUUUAUCAAAAACAUUUCUAAUCAGAUGGUUAGUAGGCCCUGCUCACUGAUAUUUUAAGAGCCGCAGUAUUUUAACUGUGCUAAGGUAGCGUAAUAAUUAGGCUUUUUAUUGAGGUCUAGGAUGAAAGGGUUGAUGAUUUUUUGACUUUCUAAUCUAGAGAGAGAAUUUUAUCUUUAAGUCAAAAAGCUUAGCUUUGCUAGAGGGACGAUAAGACCCUAUAAAGCUUUACUUCAAAUAAAUUUUUAUUAAUUUAGAGGAGUUGAGCUGGGGCGGCAAAUAAAAUUCUUUAAUUUAUAUAACAAAUUAUUUGAGAUAAAAGAUCUUGAAAGAGCUAGAGUAAGCUACUUUAGGGAUAACAGCGUGAUUUUCCUAAAGAGAUCUUAUUUACAGGAAAGACUUACGACCUCGAUGUUGAAUUGAGGGGCCUAAAUUAAGCAGGUAUAAUUUAAGGGAGUCUGUUCGACUUUUAAACCCUCACGUGAUCUGAGUUCAGACC
rnacentral:rRNA from 1 species